UUUUUUUUUUUCUUUUUUUUGAGACAGAGUCUUGCUCUGUUGCCCAGGCUGGAGUGCAGUAGCACGAUCUUGGCUCACUGUAAGCUCUGCCUCCUGGGUUCAUGCCAUUCUUCUGCCUCAGCCUCCCGAGUAGCUGGGAUUACAGGUGCCUACCACCACGCCUGGCUAAUUUUUUGUAUUUUAGUAGAAACGGGGUUUCACCGUGUUAGCCACGAUGGUCUUGAUCUCCUGACCUCGUGAUCCACCCGCCUCGGCCUCCCAAAGUGCUGGGAUUACAGGCGUGAAACCCAGACUUUUUACCAUGCCCCCCCCCCCCUCCAAUAGUAUCUGAGCAAACCUCCCCCUCACUCCCUGCUAGGGCCUCAAAGUUUGUGUAUCCUCAAAAUUCAUACUGAAAUCUUAAUCCUUAAGAUGAUGGUAUUAGGAGAUGGGACCUUUGGGGAAGUAAGUAGAUCAUGGGAGCAGAGCCUUUAUAAAUGAAAUUAGUUCCGUUAUAAAAGAGGCCUGAGAGAGACUCCUUAUCCUUUCCACCAGGUGAGGACAUAGCAAGAAGGUGCCAUCUAUGAACCAGGAUAUGGGACCCUUGGCACAUACUGACUCUGCUUGCACCUUAAUCUGGGACUUCUCAGUCUCCAGAACUGUGAUAAAUAAAUUUCUGUUGUUUUAUACCAGUUUAUGGUAUUUUUUAAUAGCAGUCCAAAUGGACUAAGAUACUCCAGCUAGAGAGUAGCCUUCUAUCUGUGCUUUAAACAGGCCACACUCAGACUUUUUGGUACUUCUAGAUCUUCCUCUAUACACACAUCUGAUUAUGUUUCCCCUCACCUUGCUCUGCUCAAAACUUUCUGGUGGUUCCUAAAUCUCUGUACCAAGGCAAAGCUGUCUCCAUGUCUUGCCCUUUUCUCUCUCUCCUCUUUUGUCCCUCUUUUUAUCCCUUUGUGUGCCAGUUUCUCAGCAUACUCUGCUGUUUCUUCCAUUGGUACCUUUGCUCAUGUUCUUCACUUUAAAACCUUUUAACCUUGAAUACUUAGCUUCUUCUGGAAGCCAUUUCCUAAACCACAUAUCGAGCUAAGGAUCCCUCCUCUGGACUCCCACACUGUGAAUACCAUUUUAUUUGGUCACUUACCGCACUGAGUUGAAGUUAUCUUUAGAUAGAUAUCUUUCCUACUGACUAUAAAAUCCUUGAGGACAAGGAGGAUCUAUAUUUUCUUCAUCUUCGCAUCCCUGGUGUUUAGCAGAAUUGGGUGUAUUUUUGAUAUCUAUGUUAAGUGGAAUUAAGCAGAACUAAAGUGAGAUUGGGAAGCCAUGACAGAGGAACAAUCACACAGCAGGAUGAUACUUCCAGAAAGGCAAAAUAUCCCCUGGUCUAGGGAGAAUCAUGGGUAACCCCUGGAGAGAGGCCUUCUUGAGUAAUCCCAGGGAUGGUAAUGCAUUUGGUGCCAUGUGGUGUUCAACCAAGGUCCUCAGCUACAGUAUUCACAGGCAGUACUGGCAGGCUCAUGCUG
rnacentral:lncRNA from 1 species